rnacentral:rRNA from 1 species
UUGAGCGCUGAAGGUUGGUACUUGUACCGACUGGAUGAGCAGCGAACGGGUGAGUAACGCGUGGGGAAUCUGCCUUUGAGCGGGGGACAACAUUUGGAAACGAAUGCUAAUACCGCAUAAAAACUUUAAACACAAGUUUUAAGUUUGAAAGAUGCAAUUGCAUCACUCAAAGAUGAUCCCGCGUUGUAUUAGCUAGUUGGUGAGGUAAAGGCUCACCAAGGCGAUGAUACAUAGCCGACCUGAGAGGGUGAUCGGCCACAUUGGGACUGAGACACGGCCCAAACUCCUACGGGAGGCAGCAGUAGGGAAUCUUCGGCAAUGGACGAAAGUCUGACCGAGCAACGCCGCGUGAGUGAAGAAGGUUUUCGGAUCGUAAAACUCUGUUGGUAGAGAAGAACGUUGGUGAGAGUGGAAAGCUCAUCAAGUGACGGUAACUACCCAGAAAGGGACGGCUAACUACGUGCCAGCAGCCGCGGUAAUACGUAGGUCCCGAGCGUUGUCCGGAUUUAUUGGGCGUAAAGCGAGCGCAGGUGGUUUAUUAAGUCUGGUGUAAAAGGCAGUGGCUCAACCAUUGUAUGCAUUGGAAACUGGUAGACUUGAGUGCAGGAGAGGAGAGUGGAAUUCCAUGUGUAGCGGUGAAAUGCGUAGAUAUAUGGAGG